AAUACCAUUGUUUUUCGCUCUCUUUUCUUAAGGCGGCGGCAUAGUGGAUGAACCCUAUAUAAACAUUGGUAUGUGUUAAUUUCAAGAUCCUCUGUGAAAUUAGUUAGUAUACUGCCUCGUUCCUUUUCUUCACCAUCUUUAGAGGCCAUGUCUAAUGUUGUCGACCUUCACAACCAUACGGAGAACAGGAGCUGGAGAACAUGUUAUCCGAGUUGUCGUCUGAACCAAGAUAUCAGCAAAGACGAACGACUUCAUUCUGAUCGAGUGCUUUCUUUAGUUCUUUUGCAGAAGGUACUGUAGUCCUGAUAGAUAUAGGAAUGUGUAUCCUCUAUGAAACAUCUUAUUAGGGAGUUGGGAGAUAGAUCUUAGCAUGUUUGAUCUUUGUUUUAUCUGUAUAUGUUUAGAUGCACAUGAAAAACUGAAGAUGAAAUGGACUCUUACCUUACUGUGUCCUUUUUAC